rnacentral:rRNA from 1 species
UGGGGAAUAUUGGACAAUGGGGGCAACCCUGAUCCAGCAAUGCCGCGUGUGUGAAGAAGGUCUUCGGAUUGUAAAGCACUUUCGACGGGGACGAUGAUGACGGUACCCGUAGAAGAAGCCCCGGCUAACUUCGUGCCAGCAGCCGCGGUAAUACGAAGGGGGCUAGCGUUGCUCGGAAUGACUGGGCGUAAAGGGCGUGUAGGCGGUUUACACAGUCAGAUGUGAAAUCCCCGGGCUUAACCUGGGAGCUGCAUUUGAUACGUGUAGACUAGAGUGUGAGAGAGGGUUGUGGAAUUCCCAGUGUAGAGGUGAAAUUCGUAGAUAUUGGGAAGAACACCGGUGGCGAAGGCGGCAACCUGGCUCAUGACUGACGCUGAGGCGCGAAAGCGUGGGGAGCAAACAGGAUUAGAUACCCUGGUAGUCCACGCUGUAAGCGAUGUGUGCUAGAUGUUGGGUAACUUUGUUAUUCAGUGUCGCAGUUAACGCGUUAAG